GCCAUAUCACGUUGAAACACCAGUUCUAGUACGAUCACCGAAGUUAAGCAACGUCGAGCCUUCUCAGUACCUAAAUGGGUGACUACUUGGGUAUGCCAGGUACUA